rnacentral:rRNA from 1 species
GAUGAACGCUAGCGGCAGGCUUAAUACAUGCAAGUCGAGGGGCAGCAUAAGGGUAGCAAUACUCUGGUGGCGACCGGCGCACGGGUGCGUAACGCGUAUGCAAUCUACCUUCAACAGGUGAAUAACCCGGAGAAAUUCGGACUAAUACAUCGUAGUGUUAUAGUAUGGCAUCAUAUUAUAACUAAAGAUUUAUCGGUUGAAGAUGAGCAUGCGUUCGAUUAGAUAGUUGGUGAGGUAACGGCUCACCAAGUCUACGAUCGAUAGGGGUUCUGAGAGGAUGAUCCCCCACACUGGUACUGAGACACGGACCAGACUCCUACGGGAGGCAGCAGUAGGGAAUAUUGGACAAUGGUCGAGAGACUGAUCCAGCCAUGCCGCGUGCAGGAAGACGGCCUUAUGGGUUGUAAACUGCUUUUAUACAGGGGUAAUAGUCGGUACGUGUACCGAUUUGAAAGUACUGUAAGAAUAAGGAUCGGCUAACUCCGUGCCAGCAGCCGCGGUAAUACGGAGGAUCCAAGCGUUAUCCGGAUUUAUUGGGUUUAAAGGGUGCGCAGGCGGACUGGUAAGUCAGCGGUGAAAUCUCUCAGCUUAACUGAGGAACUGCCGUUGAUACUGCCAAUCUUGAAUUUAGACGGCGUGGGCGGAAUAUGUCAAGUAGCGGUGAAAUGCUUAGAUAUGACAUAGAACACCGAUAGGGUAGCCAGCUCACGAGGCUAAUAUUGACGCUUAGGCACGAAAGCGUGG